AUUGGACGCUGGCGGCAUGCCUUACACAUGCAAGUCGAACGGUAACAGGUCUUCGGAUGCUGACGAGUGGCGAACGGGUGAGUAAUACAUCGGAACGUGCCCGAUCGUGGGGGAUAACGAAGCGAAAGCUUUGCUAAUACCGCAUAAGAUCUACGGAUGAAAGCAGGGGACCGCAAGGCCUUGCGCGAACGGAGCGGCCGAUGGCAGAUUAGGUAGUUGGUGGGAUAAAAGCUUACCAAGCCGACGAUCUGUAGCUGGUCUGAGAGGACGACCAGCCACACUGGGACUGAGACACGGCCCAGACUCCUACGGGAGGCAGCAGUGGGGAAUUUUGGACAAUGGGCGAAAGCCUGAUCCAGCCAUGCCGCGUGCAGGAUGAAGGCCUUCGGGUUGUAAACUGCUUUUGUACGGAACGAAAAGACUCUGGUUAAUACCUGGGGUCCAUGACGGUACCGUAAGAAUAAGCACCGGCUAACUACGUG
rnacentral:rRNA from 1 species